AAAUGUAAGUGAUGCGAUUCUUUCAGGUUAAAACCUUCCAAUUUUGUGUGCGAUAUUAUGGUCAUUUUGCAUAUAUAUUUUGAUAGUACAAAAUCUAGCGUUCCCGGCGAAUCUAACGCAUAACAAUGAACUUUUGGCAUCUGUAAAAAGCAGGCUUAACUUUUUAUAUCAUUGCCGAAAUGUACCGAAUAAUUGCAUUGGAUUGAAAACCGUUGGCUGCUCAAAAUAAGUUAAAGUAUUUAAAAUUUCACUUGUUGGAUCAACCACUAAAUGCACCCUGCAUGCGUUAAAGAUGCAGAUGCAUGUCACUGAAGCGUGAGGAGGUUUUUGUACAGGCUCUAAAUAGAUUUGUACCACUGUGGUGGACUUUUGGUAGCGGCACGAAGCUUGAAGUUGGAAGUAACACCAGCCCCAAACUGACAGUCUUGCCCCCGUCAAGCGAAGAGCUCUCCAGCAAGAGUACUGCCACGCUGGUGUGCCUGGCCAACGGAGGCUUCCCGUCAGACUGGGCUCUCAGCUGGAAGGUGGAUGGGAACAGCAGGCCUGGGGUGGCCAGUCGCUGGGGUCCAGAGAAGAACGGCCUGUACAGCUGGAGCAGCACCCUGACCAUGCCUUCCCAGGAGUGGACCAAGGCUGCCUCAGUGACCUGUGAGGCCAAACAGGGCUCCCAGUCUCCAGUCACCAAGGUUAUAAAGAGAGGCGAAUGCUCUGACUAGAGUAGCAUACCUCCAUUUUCUACAGUCUGGGUGACUGAUUAUUGUAUGUGUCUUAUUUUUUAUCGUUUAUGUACUCACUGUACUGUGCUUGCUGUCUUCAUUGACAUACAGCCACAGCCUUUACUGUUAUACUUGUUCUGCCUAAUCAAUGAGAAAAUGUUCUUGUGCCGUUUCUGUUGCAAAAUUUGACUUGGAAAAAAUAAAAGCUUUCUACUGAACCAUA